UUUGUAAUUAGGAAAACAACAAAGAUUAAAACCAAGAGAAAAAAAACAAAUUUAUUUUAGGUGGCAGGCAGUCAGGCCUUGCCUGGCCAUAUCACUUAUCAGAUGUGUGGUUGUGCAACCUGACUACCAGGUUUCAACUCCUGAGAUAUUGCUGUUAAACUCAGGUACAAAAUCUUUCCCACAAGCCCAGCCUGAGGGCUCAUCCUUAUUCACUGCAGUUUCUCUUGAUUUCUUUUUGACCCUCUACUGCCACUGCUGAUCUCUGGCCAUCCUCUUCCUGUCUCCUUGUCCAGCUGGGCCAGGUGGGCAUCUCUGUAACUAUUAAGAUUCCUAAUUCUGUUUUUCUCUUCUCUAGCUUGGCUUGACCCCCUGGGAUUGACAUUACAUCAGACUUUCUAAUAAAACUCCACUCCUUUUUCCUAGAUAAACAGACUUCUGGCAUUUUCAUGCAUGAUUCAUAACUUUAUGUAAAUGCUCUGGCAAGCUGGAUGAAUGGACAUGAUCCAAUAAAGAUAUUGAGCCUGAGAAUAAAACGCAGUAAAAGAGUGUUGAGAGCACAGAACUCCUCUGAAGUGGAAGGAUCCUUCUCACAGGAUGAAACCAUGUCUCACAUACUCCAGUAUUCUCAAAAGCCUAAUAUAGAACUGAGCAUGUACCAGAGCCUCAAUAUAUCUUUAUUUUUGUAAAUUAAAAAUUUAUACCGAUAUAUAAUGCAUAAGUGUGCC
rnacentral:lncRNA from 1 species